GGAACGUAAUAUUCGGAGUUCGUAUGAAUAAGUUACGAAUAUUUGAAAAUUGGGAUUUUCUAUAAAUAUGAAAAAAAAAAUCCGAAUAUUGCAAAUGAGGACAGAAUUUCUGGAACUCCAGAAAUUUCUCCCCAUUUCUCUCCCGAGCCCAGCCGCGACCCCCUCCCUUCGUCACCUUCGUUCUUCCUCAUCCGGUCACCGAUUGAUGUGAAACAAAGUGGGUUUUUCUGGUCUCGACCCCCUUUACGAGUUUGUAGAAGAAAUCGAAGUGAAAUACGAGCUGUAUGAGGCUCUACAAGGUCGAGAAGAGAGCCUCGUCGGAGACGAAAUCGCUCUUCCCCACUUUUUCUGGGCUCUACUUUGUCUGGCCAUAUCUUCCUCUACAGGCCUCCGAUCGACCUGAUUCCAAAAGCAAUUUUUCUCACCGUGAAGUUUUCUACAACUUUCCAGAAGACAUCGACUUGAGAUAACCAUCGUGGUGGCCGCUAGAAGACCGAGAAGCCGCACAGCCGAGCUGGAAAUCGUCUUCCUUCGCCACCUUGGUUCUCCCAGCUCCGGCCACUAUAGCUCGAGUUCUUUGAGGGCUUUUCUAGCCCAGAGGAAGUAGAAGCUAUCCCCAAGAAGGCUUGCAGCGAUUUGAUCCGGGGUGAUCGAAUUUUGAAGAUUGGGAAACUAGGGUUCUUCGGGUUUCAAAACUUGCGAGGUGAUUGACGGUCUCCCUUGGGUGAACGAUUUCGGUGUGUAUUGUGUUGAAUUGAAGACGCAGCGGGAAUAUCGAGGUGAGUAAAUCGCACAUGGUUCAUUCACGAACCGAAAUUCGGUGAUUUUAUUUAAUUGAGAAAUUGUGGAAAUUGUUUUACGAAAAUAAAUAUUUGUUUUAAAUUAUAUGGACUUGAUCGACUACGGUCCAUAGGUAAGUAAAAUGUAUUUAAACUAUAAAAAUGAAUUUCUAGAUUUUAUUGCAUGUGAACUAUAGUUGGUAUUAGUGGUCACUCUUGUGUGGGUGACUACGUAUAUAUAUAUUUACGUGGAAUAUAUAUUGGAUGGUGUGAUUUACUGAGUUAUAUUUUGAGCAUUACCCUUGGAAUAUGUGAUUUAUCUUAGAUGUUGUGUUGUCUAUGAUAAUGGGUAAUUGAGUAAAGUGCGAUAGUUGAGUCGUUGAGAUGAAUUAAAUGAGGAGUCGAGUGAAUUGAGAAAAGCAGUCAUUCGUAAGGUGAACCUUGGCCCAGGUGACACUUUACGAUACAGUUAGAGCUCUAGUCUGUCUGCCAUCAUACUGCUUGGGGGAUAAACGAGUUAUCAUAUGCCCUUGGGUAUGACAUGACAUACUGAAUGGGGUGAUUAAUAUAAUUAAUCAUAAGCCUGUAAGUAUGAUAUACUGAAUGGGGUGAUUAAUCUAAUUAAUCAUAAGCCUGUAAGUAUAAUAUACUGCAUGGGAUGAUUUAUAUAAAUAAAUCAUAAGCCUGUGAGUAUAUAUUGAGUAAACAGUUGUUUGUUUUUGAGUAGUCAUGUUGAGAUGUGAGUUGAUUGAUGCUUGAAGUGACAUUGUACACUUCAAUUAUUAUGCAAAGAAAAUACUUGAGUUAAAUUUAUGCAUGAGUUGAUUUGGUUACUUUAAAUCGUGCAAUCCUUUCAUUUACUCAUACGAGCUUUGCAAAAAGCUUACCGGGUUUGUAUUGUUGCAAUCCCGGUACACUAUUCAAACGGUGUAG